rnacentral:sRNA from 2 species
UCUAUCUCAGCAUCUCGUGAGCUAAGCGCGUGCACUUAAAUUGGUGCAAAACACACAACAUUAAAUGCAUCUCAGAUUCUUGAAUUUAUCAAGUUGCCAGCAGCAGAAGAGUGUUGGAUGUUGAUCACUCACAUUAUAGAUGACAUUGCAGGAAAAUGCCUCCUCUUGGUGGAUGUGGAACAACUAGAGCAGUCCAGCAUUGCUUUUAGAGGUUAACUAUGUGGAGCAAAUUCGAUCUAUCCCAAAUCCCUAUUCCCAUCUCAUCUGCAGCCCACUUGGUGGAGAGCGUUGGGAUUGUUGAAUUGACCAUGACAAUGGCGGGGAACGGACUCCUAUGACAAAAAUUGAGGAUCUGAACAAGCACAUCCUAGGCAAUCCGAACAUGAUCUCACAGGAUCCCCGGGUUUAGCGUGGCACGGCUCCACACCAUGGGCCAGAACAACUGUCAAGCUCAGAAAUCGGGUUUUGAAAUCUAGAGCAACAACUUGGUCCAGAACAUGGAACAAGAAAGCUUUACAUGUGACAGCAACCGUGUCGAUGCGAUCACAUGUUAUAUGCCCCAACCCUUGGAUUGAUCCCAAAACAAAUGA